rnacentral:rRNA from 1 species
AGCGAACGCUGGCGGCAUGCUUAACACAUGCGAAGUCGCGACGGUUGGGGGCGAACCCUGGCAGUGGCGGACGGGUGAGUAACGCGUAGGAAUCUAUCCUUGGUGGGGGACAACCGUGGGAAACUACGGCUAAUACCGCAUGAUCCCUGAGGGGCAAAGGCGAAAGUCGCCUGAGGAGGAGCCUGCGUCUGAUUAGGUAGUUGGUGGGGUAAAGGCCUACCAAGCCUGCGAUCAGUAGCUGGUCUGAGAGGAUGAUCAGCCACACUGGGACUGAGACACGGCCCAGACUCCUACGGGAGGCAGCAGUGGGGAAUAUUGGACAAUGGGCGCAAGCCUGAUCCAGCAAUGCCGCGUGGAUGAAGAAGGUCUUCGGAUUGUAAAGUCCUUUUGGCGGGGACGAUGAUGACGGUACCCGCAGAAUAAGCUCCGGCUAACUUCGUG